rnacentral:rRNA from 1 species
CGGAUUGUAGGCUGCAACUCGCCUACAUGAAGUCGGAGUUGCUAGUAAUCGCGGAUCAGCAUGCCGCGGUGAAUACGUUCCCGGGCCUUGUACACACCGCCCGUCACACCAUGGGAGUCGGUAACACCCGAAGCCUGUAGUCUAACCGCAAGGGGGACGCAGUCGAAGGUGGGAUUGAUGACUGGGGUGAAGUCGUAACAAGGUACC